rnacentral:rRNA from 1 species
CCUACGGGUGGCUGCAGUGGGGGAUAUUGCACAAUGGGGGAAACCCUGAUGCAGCGACGCCGCGUGGGCGAAGAAGUAUUUCGGUAUGUAAAGCCCUAUCAGCAGGGAAGAAGAAAUGACGGUACCUGAGUAAGAAGCACCGGCUAAAUACGUGCCAGCAGCAGCGGUAAUACGUAUGGUGCAAGCGUUAUCCGGAUUUACUGGGUGUAAAGGGAGCGCAGGCGGCACGGCAAGUCUGGAGUGAAAUGCCGGGGCCCAACCCCGGAACUGCUUUGGAAACUGUGCAGCUGGAGUGCAGGAGAGGUAAGCGGAAUUCCUGGUGUAGCGGUGAAAUGCGUAGAUAUUAGGAGGAACACCAGUGGCGAAGGCGGCUUACUGGACUGUAACUGACGUUGAGGCUCGAAAGCGUGGGGAGCAAACAGGAUUAGAUACCCCAGUAGUC